CUCUCUCGGGGGCUGCCUAUGGUGCUGCAUUAACAGCACAUCUCCGUGGUGAAGAAACAAUGAGGAUAUAACGGAGACCCAAAUGAAAUCCUCCCUGGAGUUGCCAAGAAUGAUGGAUAACUGCAAGAAAAUAUUAUUCUAUGGCUCUGGAAAAGGAAGAUCUACUUUCUUAGUAACCUGGUGCCUGAUUCGGGACACAGCGACCGUCCCCUCCUGCCACCAGCUCCCGGGAGGAGCCAGCUGCCUGCCUGCAACCGGGCGAGGAUGGAGCCAGAGCCGUGGAGCAGCGAGGAGGGAGGGAGGAGAGCGACGGCAGAUUCCUCCGGCAUCUCCACACCGCGGGGCUCUUGGCGAGCGAGUGCUCGUCUGCUUUGAAAGCUCUUAGUGCUCCUGCAGGUGGGAGCCAAUUUGUCUGCUUUCCUGCCCAGGUGCCAUCUGUUUGUAGCAUUGCCUGUGCGGUGGAUGAGCACGACGGGGAUGGCGAAGGGAAAGGGCUGCUGGGCUGGGAAAGAUGAGCCUAAAACUUUCCUUGAGUAUCUUCAGCGCUUCUGGCUGCCGUUGUUCUCUCUCCCCUGCAUCGCAGCGGGGAAAUCGGAGCCUGUCAUUUGCUGUUCCCGGAGCGUAGAGGGGAGCUGAGGCACUGCUAAUAGCGAACUAUCAUUCUAAUGCUAAUUUCCUACCAUUAGCUCAGGCUGGGGGAGGCUCAGCCUGGGUGGAGGGAAGCCAUUAGCAGAUGGAGAAGGGGAGAUGUGUGCGGAUUUGUUCUGCACCCCCAGAAGGGAUUUUCAGAGGGCAGAUGAUUAACCACCACUGGGCAAAUUGGUAACACGAGCUGGGUUCAGUCUCUGGUGGACGUGGGAGGAAGGGAGAGGAUGCUUUGUUCCAAGUUGUCCUUCCUCUAGGGAUUUCCUGAGUGCUUCAGGCUUUGGCUUGAGUUUGGUCUUAGCUGCUUGUUGCCAGGCCUCGUGUGUUGUGACCCAAGGGAUGCUCAGAGCGCUGGCAGGGCUGCAGCUGGUGGCACCAAUGUCCUUUCAACAAAGGAGCCAAGCAGGGUUGGGUUUAGCUGCUGUCUUUUUGGGAGGAGCUUCCCAGUUCAGGAGCCUGGACAUCCGUGUUUGGUGGCAGGCUUCAAAGCAGGGAAAUUUUGAAUCCACCCUUGAGAUACCCAAGAGCUAAAAAAGAAACCUGUCCUUUUGCCAUGGAAGCAAACCCAGCUGCCCCAAGCUGGAGACCUGUCAGGAGAAACCAGGGGCUGAGUUUGGAGUUGUGAAGGAAAAUGAACUAUUUCCCUGCCCUUUCCAGAGGUGAGCGUUCCUACAUCCAGCCUCUUCAUCAGUCUCCUCUAGACAAGUGGAAGAGCCUGUGCUGCUCCCUGGAUUGGUGAGGUGCCUGGGAGCUUCUGGGGUGUGUGUAGAAGGUGAUUGGCUACAGUAGGACUGUAGGGCCUGUUUGGAAUUCUUUGGGCAACAGUCAGAGAGGUUUCUCUACCAUUCCUAGACCAGCUUGGAAACCUUGGGACUAAAGGGGUGCAAGCUGUGCCUGGCUGGGAAGAAACUGGUUGCCUGCUACUGAGGACAGCGAUGUUUGAAGGCAAGGGCCCAGUAGUGUCCUGAUCUUGGUGUGACACACCUCCUGAAGACCCAGCAGCCUGUCUGUGGUGAUCUAGACCACUGGCUUCAUCAUUUCAUAGGGAAGCAUACAAGGAUUUUUUUUUUAAACCACUUAAAGACCAUUUUAAAACUCUUCUGUCAUCUAGCAGAGAUGCAGUGGAGGGACAAAAGCAGCCACAAUAAACCAGGAACUGGUUAAAUGGCAAAGGGGGGAGUAAGGCAAGAAGGGACUAUCCUGCCAGGAGGACAAUAGCACAAGGCUCCAUUAGCAGAACAGCACUGCUCACUGUGGUUACCAGCUAUCAGAUCCAUCCCGGUGUGGAGCAUGACUCACUGUUGUUUAAGAAGCUAUUUCCAUCUGAAAAAAACCAGCUCCUACCUUUUCUAGAGACUCUUCCCUGCCUUGUUCGAAGAGAGAAACAAAAAAGUGAAGGGCUACUUUUUCCUAGUCAAGGAGGCUCAAACAAACUUUCCCUCAAGUAGCUGAGCAAGGGAAUCAGCACGUUAUGUGUUCUCGAGAAUAAUACAAUCAAAGUAGUUGUGGGGGGAAAAAAGUAAGAAUAAAAUAGCAUUGCUUUUCCCAGUUCAGCACUUUGAAUAAUGAGCUUACAAGCCAGAGGCAGAGCUCCCAGGAGAGGAGCUGUGUUCAGGAGAUGGACACAAGUGUUUCGGAUGGGCCUGGAUCUGAAGCCAUCUCUCUCUAAUUUUCUACAUCAGUGAGAACACAGCACAGCAUCAUCGAUCAUAGUCAACCUCUCUUCAAAAGCCACCUCCUGCCUCUCUGUAUGGCAGGUCCCCCUUUGCUCCUGUCUCCGCUGGGGACCGCAGGUGUCCUGGACAGCAGCGCUGCCGGCACAUUUCCCUCACAGGAGGGUUCUUCCUGUUUGAGCCUGCUUGUGUUUCUGCCUUUCUCCUUCCUCCACCCCUAGCACCUGUUCCUCGCCGGUGCUUCAUUUCCAGAUGUGUCUCCCCCUCCUGGAGUCAGGAAAGGCCAAAUACUCCUUUAAUCCCCGAUGAGGAGAAGGUGUGGAGCUGCCUGUCCCAGUAAACCUGCUGUGUGCUGCGAGGGGGAGGGGUGAGUGUGGUUUUAGUGCCUGUACUGCUCAUCCGGGGUCGAAGAGGUUGGACUUCGCAGCUUCCCUGAGGCCAUCAGGGCAUGUUCUGGGGAUUGCUGGUGCUGGGACUGGCUUCUUCUCCCCAGCUCUGGGCGUGGAGCACCUAAAGGGAUCAUCAUUCAUGCUGGGCUGGUGGUGCGAUGCAGCAGCUUCUGGUCCCUUGUUUCUCCUUCUGUGAAGUCCUCUCUGCUCCUUCCUGGCCUGGCCAGGUGUUUCUGCCAGACCCAGGGGCACCAGUUUGGCAGGAGCACUGGUGAUGGGGCUCCUCCUGGUCAGGCCAAGGCCAGGCACUUCUAGGCUGGCCAGAGGGAUGUGGGUUUGUGCUUGUGGCUGUUCCUUCUGCUGGAGCGUGGACACAGCUGGUGGGUUCGGUGCCUCUUGCUACUUCAUCUGUCUCAUGUGCUCUUGCUCAGCUGUGGUGGCUCUCAGACCUACCAAAACCUGGCUGAAUGUCAUGACACAAAAGUGGUUUUCCAGCCCUGUUUCUGGCUUCAUGGGCUCAAGCACUAGCUAGAAAACCAAGGACUGAGCUUCUUUCUUGAGCACAGCCCUAGAGAGGAGCAUCUUCUGAAGAAACUCUUGCAAUUGCCACCUCCCUCUCAGCCUUUUCACUGGCUUCUGAGAGCUGCAGAGCAUCCUUGACCUCUGUCUCAGGCAUGGUUUCCUGCAUGUAUCAGCCCUGCUCCAGUGUUGUGGAGCUAUUGCUGGCAUCUGUAAUAGCUGUGUUGUUUACUUCCCAAGUGCCUGCCCUUUCCCUAAUGAGCUGUAAUUCAUCCUGGUUUAUACAGGGCUCGGAGAUACCUGGAGCGAGGAAGGUGUGCCAUUAAACCACCUUCUAGGCUGCUCUCUGGACCUGGGAUUGCUGAUCUCCUGGAGAUGUAAAACAAGGAGGACAAGGGGGACCAGAUGGAAAUGGGGAAUAAUUACCUUGCAGGGUUUUUGCCCAGGGCUGGUUGGGUUGGGAACUGCUGUGAGCUGACACACAGGUGCAGAUGGAUGGUUACGGCACACAGGGCAGAGGGAUGAAAGAUGUCUUUUUAAAGCAUCUGCCUUUCUCUCUUCCUCUGCUUUAUAACCUGUUUUUAUAGAGACUGCACAAGGAACACAUUUUUUUUAUUAGCAGCUUGGGAGU